rnacentral:rRNA from 1 species
GACGAACGCUGGCGGCGUGCUUAACACAUGCAAGUCGAGCGGUAAGGCCCUUUCGGGGUACGACGAGCGGCGAACGGGUAGAGUAACAACGUGGGUGGACCUCGCCCUUACGUCUCUGGGAGUAAAGCCUCGGGAAACGUAGGGUCGUAAUAACCGGAUAUGACUCCAUGACGCAUGUUGUGGGGUGGAAAGCCUUGUGCGGCUAGGGAGUGGGCCCGGCCGGCCUAUCAGCUUGUUGGUGGGGUGAUGGCCACCAAGGCGACGACGGGUAGCCGGCCUGAGAGGGCGACCGGCCACACUGGGAC